AACGAACGCUGGCGGCAUGCCUAACACAUGCGAGUCGAACGAGACCUUCGGGUCUAGUGGCGCACGGGUGCGUAACGCGUGGGAACCUGCCCUUAGGUUCGGAAUAACUCCCCGAAAGGGGUGCUAAUACCGGAUAAUGUCUUCGGACCAAAGAUUUAUCGCCUUUGGAUGGGCCCGCGUUGGAUUAGCUAGUUGGUAGGGUAAAAGCCUACUAAGGCGACGAUCCAUAGCUGGUCUGAGAGGAUGAUCAGCCACACUGGGACUGAGACACGGCCCAGACUCCUACGGGAGGCAGCAGUGGGGAAUAUUGGACAAUGGGCGAAAGCCUGAUCCAGCAAUGCCGCGUGAGUGAUGAAGGCCUUAGGGUUGUAAAGCUCUUUUACCCGGGAUGAUAAUGACAGUACCGGGAGAAUAAGCGCCGGCUAACUCCGUG
rnacentral:rRNA from 1 species